rnacentral:rRNA from 1 species
AGAGUUUGAUCAUGGCUCAGAACGAACGCUGGCGGCGUGCCUAACACAUGCAAGUCGAGCGCGAAAGUUUCCUUCGGGAAGCGAGUAGAGCGGCGAACGGGUGAGUACAACGUAGGUAACCUACCCCCGAGACUGGGAUAACCUGUCGAAAGACGGGCUAAUACCGGAUAAGACCACGAGGGCUGCGGCCCUUGGGGCAAAAGGUGGCCUCUGCUUGCAAGCUACUACUCGAGGAGGGGCCUGCGCGCCAUUAGCUAGUUGGUGAGGUAACGGCUCACCAAGGCGAAGAUGGCUAGCUGGUCUGAGAGGAUGGCCAGCCACACUGGGACUGAGACACGGCCCAGACUCCUACGGGAGGCAGCAGUGGGGAAUCUUGCGCAAUGGGCGAAAGCCUGACGCAGCGACGCCGCGUGGGUGAUGAAGGCCUUCGGGUCGUAAAGCCCUGUCGGGAGGGAAGAAAUCUCAUCGGCCUAAUAUGCCGAUGACUUGACGGUACCUCUUAAGGAAGCACCGGCUAACUACGUGCCAGCAGCCGCGGUA